UACGGAGGGUGCAAGCGUUAUCCGGAUUCACUGGGUUUAAAGGGUGCGUAGGCGGGUUGGUAAGUCCGUGGUGAAAUCUCCAGCUUAACUUGGAAACUGCCGUGGAUACUAUCAAUCUUGAAUAUCGUGGAGGUAAGCGGAAAUAUGUCAUGUAGCGGUGAAAUGCUUAGAUAUGACAUAGAACACCAAUUGCGUAGGCAGCUUACUACACGAUCAUUGACGCUGAGGCACGAAAGCGUGGGGAGCAAACAGG
rnacentral:rRNA from 1 species